rfam:Micromonospora narathiwatensis strain DSM 45248 genome assembly, chromosome: I
UUGAGCCGGAUGCAUGGAAAUCGUGCACGUCCGGUUCUAAGGGGGCGGCGGCGCAGCAAUGCGCCGCCGCUACCCGGC